UACGUAGGAGACAAACGUUAUCCGGAGUUACUGGGCGUAAAGGGCGUGUAGGUGGUUUCGUAAGUCUGGCGUGAAAUUUUUCGGCUUAACCGGGAAAGGUCGUCGGAUACUGCGGAACUAGAGGACGGUAGAGGCGUGUGGAAUUCCGGGUGUAGUGGUGAAAUGCGUAGAGAUCCGGAGGAACACCAGUGGCGAAGGCGACACGCUGGGCCGUACCUGACACUGAUGCGCGACAGCAUGGGGAGCAAACAGG
rnacentral:rRNA from 1 species